rnacentral:SRP_RNA from 1 species
GCCGGGUGCGGUGGCAUGUGCCUGUAAUCCAAGUCACUGGGAGGCUGAGGUUGGUAGAUCAAGUGAGCUGAGGAGCUCUGGGCUGCAGCACGCUAUGUCGAACGGGUGUCCACGCUAAGUUCGGUAUCGAUAUGGUGUUCCUGGGGGAGCCCGGGACCACCAGGUUGUCUAAGGAGGGGUGAACCGGCCCAGGUCGGAAACGAAGCAGGUCAAAUCCCCCGUGCUGUCCAGUAGUGGGAUAAUACCUGUGAGUAGAUGCUGCAGUGCAGCCUUGGCAAAAACAUCUUUU